rnacentral:rRNA from 1 species
AUUGAACGCUGGCGGCAUGCCUUACACAUGCAAGUCGAACGGCAGCACGGGGGCAACCCUGGUGGCGAGUGGCGAACGGGUGAGUAAUACAUCGGAACGUGUCCUGGAGUGGGGGAUAGCCCGGCGAAAGCCGGAUUAAUACCGCAUACGCUCUAUGGAGGAAAGCGGGGGAUCUUCGGACCUCGCGCUCAAGGGGCGGCCGAUGGCGGAUUAGCUAGUUGGUAGGGUAAAGGCCUACCAAGGCGACGAUCCGUAGCUGGUCUGAGAGGACGACCAGCCACACUGGGACUGAGACACGGCCCAGACUCCUACGGGAGGCAGCAGUGGGGAAUUUUGGACAAUGGGGGCAACCCUGAUCCAGCAAUGCCGCGUGUGUGAAGAAGGCCUUCGGGUUGUAAAGCACUUUUGUCCGGAAAGAAAUCCUCUGGGUUAAUACCUCGGGGGGAUGACGGU